rnacentral:rRNA from 1 species
UACAGAGGGGGCAAGCGUUAUUCGGAAUUAUUGGGCGUAAAGGGCGCGUAGGCGGCUUGGCAAGUGGAUGGUGAAAUCCCUCGGCUUAACCGAGGAACUGCCGUCCAAACUGCUUCGCUUGAGACCGGGAGAGGUGAGUGGAAUUCCCAGUGUAGCGGUGAAAUGCGUAGAUAUUGGGAGGAACACCAGUGGCGAAGGCGGCUCACUGGACCGGUACUGACGCUGAUGCGCGAAAGCGUGGGGAGCGAACCGG